rnacentral:rRNA from 1 species
UACGAAGGGGGGCUAGCGUUGCUCGGAAUCACUGGGCGUAAAGCGCACGUAGGCGGAUUGCUAAGUCAGGGGUGAAAUCCUGGAGCUCAACUCCAGAACUGCCUUUGAUACUGGCGAUCUCGAGUCCGGGAGAGGUGAGUGGAACUGCGAGUGUAGAGGUGAAAUUCGUAGAUAUUCGCAAGAACACCAGUGGCGAAGGCGGCUCACUGGCCCGGUACUGACGCUGAGGUGCGAAAGCGUGGGGAGCAAACGGG